AUUGAACGCUGGCGGAAUGCUUUACACAUGCAAGUCGAACGGCAGCACGGGGCAACCUGGUGGCGAGUGGCGAACGGGUGAGUAAUACAUCGGAACGUGCCCAAUCGUGGGGGAUAAUGUAGCGAAAGUUACGCUAAUACCGCAUACGAUCUACGGAUGAAAGCGGGGGAUCGCAAGACCUCGCGCGAAUGGAGCGGCCGAUGUCAGAUUAGGUAGUUGGUGGGGUAAAGGCUCACCAAGCCGACGAUCUGUAGCUGGUCUGAGAGGACGACCAGCCACACUGGGACUGAGACACGGCCCAGACUCCUACGGGAGGCAGCAGUGGGGAAUUUUGGACAAUGGGCGCAAGCCUGAUCCAGCCAUUCCGCGUGCAGGAUGAAGGCCUUCGGGUUGUAAACUGCUUUUGUACGGAACGAAACGGUUCUCUCUAAUACAGGGGCUAAUGACGGUACCGUAAGAAUAAGACACGGCUAACUACGUGCCAGCAGCCGCGGUAAACACG
rnacentral:rRNA from 1 species